UGCCCGGUAGCUCAGUGGUAGAGCAGGUGACUGUUAAUCACUUGGUCGCAGGUUCGAACCCUGCCCGGGCAGCCA
rnacentral:tRNA from 1 species